AGUCCGUGGACCCAACCCGUAGGAGGGGAGGCAGGCCGGACCGAGCGCCGGGCAGCGACUGGGGCG
rnacentral:rRNA from 1 species